AGCGCCACACACACACACACACACAAAUACAAAUACGACAGCACAAUAAAACGCGAAAAAAAAAUAAACAGAAAGGCAGCAGAGUAACGGAGCAGCACCAGCUGCGCCUCAUGUGACACAGAAACGCACAUCAUACCCCUUCCUGGUGAACUUGGCGAGUCUCCUACACGGAGCGCAUACGCACGUGUCUCACGCUCUAUCUUCUUCUCUGUAGUUGCUCGCCGCCAGACCCAAAUAUAUCAGCCGAAGGGAGGCGGAAUGGGCUGCGGUUCUAGUGCGCCAAAGGCCGAUACAUCGGCCUCCACUGAAGAGGUGAGGGCCCUCUCCGUUGACAUGAAGACGCACUUCGCCAACAUCGACCCGGAGGUGCUCGGCCCCCACAAGGAGAGUGCGAAGGCAAAGCUGGCCUUCAUGUACGGCAAGACGGCGAAUAUCUUCCUGCUGACCACCGAGCCCUUCCACAAACCGCACCAUCAACCGAAGCCGGAGGGCGAAGAGCACGCCCCUGAGGACGACGAGAAGCAGGCGUCAGCGGUGGAGGAGAUUCGCUGGACCCUUUUCAACGACGGCAAGAGCGACGCCACGGUAGAGGCGACCUUCUUCCGUGCCGAGGCGCUACGCCCGGCGCGUGCGCACGGGGCUGCCGAAGACGCGGAGAGUCCCGUGAAGCUCGAGUUCUCCGAUGGCGGUUGCGUGAAAGCGAAGGUGUCCGUGCCAGCAGGUGCCACCGUGGCCUUCGUGGAGGGUCCCAUCAAGGGGUACAUGUGGAAGUGCAUGGUGCUCGACCCCAAGACGAGCAGAUUCAAGCCUGCCCUAGCGGCAGAGUGAGCCGGAGCUGCGCCCUCUGUUCUUCCUCAACCUUUCCUUACCUUCCCCCCGCAGCUCACGCUGUGACGGGUGCGCGCGCGCGGCGGAGGAGAGUGCAGUCGUAGCGCGUCGCACGUUUCAUUGCUACCCACAGAUGCGGCAAGCGACGCUCGCUUAUCCUUUCCACUCCCCUUCCCUGUCGUUCAUCUUCUCUACAUGGUCGCGGAUGUAAUCGGCGACGUCUGGCAGGCAUUGGCGUACGUGUGCAUGCGUGUAUGCUUUACCUGCCGCUGUACCAGUUUCGGUCGGGCUGCGCCUACGCGCAAGUACCUCUGUUGCCCCUUUCUUCUGCUCCUCAUUUUAGCCCUUUUUUCUCCGACUCCCUUCCCCACCCCUCGUGACGUGUGGACCCCGCUCAGUGCGCCGUAUCUCAGGGUCCACUACCCACGCACUGUGUGGUGAAGCCAAGCAGCCCUCCCCAGCCCUAUCCCCUGCCGGAUGCAGAACCACCUCUGGUGGUGACACGGCCAGGCCCUGGAUGGCGUUGCGUUGGAGCGACCUGCGACAGUGGGUCAGCGUACACGUCUGUGCCAUCCACGUGACAGGCAGAGCGUCAGCGUGACGCGAGCGCAUAUCCCACCCCCGGCCCUCGCGCUGCCUACAGCGGUGUGGGGGAGGCCUGAGGCACCCCGAGGGGAGGAUGCACCAGGCGGCGACCGGCAUGAUGCGGGAGCGGCGGUGAGGCGACCUGCGGAGCGAGAGGUGUGUGGGCAGAGUUCGAGGCAGGGGGCCGUGCUCUUCGACGACUGAGUCGGUGCAGCACCCUAGCGCGUGCCCACCCCUGCUUCGCGCCACGCGCGAUGUGGAGCCUGCGACGGGCGAAGGGCAAGGGAGGGGGUUCGAGUGGCGUCGAACUCACGUUGUUUCUUGGCCCUUUCUUCUCUCUUGCCCCUGUGAUCUUUUUCAUCUUUGGUUGUUCUGUGCCGUCUUCCCAACGCAGCAGCAGCAGCAGCGGCAGCAGCAGGACACGUGGAGCUGGACGUUUCAUGCGUGCAGCUGGCAACUUCUCUACUCCCUUGCUCUCUGUUUGUCCUCGCCUGUGUUUUCUUCUUGUGUGGUACCGCCCCCGACUCGUUUGUGUCGGACUUUGUCUUCUCCGUUCGUGUCGGGUGACUCCAUGGACUCUUGUGUUCUUUCCUUCGGGUGGUGGGUGGCUUCUAUGUAGACGUAUCGCCGCGUGAAGGAGCGCAGGUGUGGGCGUGCCUUGAUGUCUUUGCACGCCUCUUUCAGUGCUCGGUGGCGGUUGCCUGCACUUCGGCGUCUCUCUGUCGUCCUCUGCCCUCUCCUUUAUCUGCUCCCUCCGUCGCUUUUCUGUUCACAUGCGCCUCGGUGUCGCUUGCGUACACCGCUUCGACCGAGCUGUUGGGUGACCGCCCAACGUUGCGGAUCGAGAUAUGUGCGCAUGCGGAGAGGCGCGGGUGACCUCGUCUUCGCCUCUCUCUUUACUUGCCCCUCGGUUUCUCUCGCGAAGUGUCACCAAACAGCACCAACAGGACUGCCACCCCCGAUCACCACUUCGUUGGCCAUACCAUGCAGCGGUUAUCGUGGCCACGCCCCCGCACCGUCCUUUUUUUUUUUCGUGUCACUUCGUUCGGCUCCUUUCAUGUGCAUACAUCGAGGGGGGUGGAGAGCCCUUGCGAUUCUAUCAGCUGCACAGGCACACGCACACAGGCACUCUCCGAUGUGCAUAUCUCAAGCGCAGUAUGAGGUAUAUGUGUAUACGUCCUCUCUCACCCUCUCUGUGUACGUGUGUGAGUGCUUGCCUAUGAGUGUGGAUAGGAAGGGGUAGAGAAAAGUGGGGAGCCGGCUCCCCACUUUUCUCUUUGGUCUCGGUCCUUUUUCCCACUGGGGAGUCUCCGCUGCUAUGAAACUCCUUUCCCCUCCGUACCGUUCUCUACCUGUCCUAUUUUCUCGUCCUGUCCCAGCGUUCAUCGCAUCGACCUCCCCCUUGUUCCCUCAGCCCGCCUCUCUCUCCAGGGUCAUGGUGCGCAG
rnacentral:misc_RNA from 1 species